rnacentral:rRNA from 1 species
UACAGAGGGCGCGAGCGUUGUCCGGAAUCACUGGGCGUAAAGGGCGCGUAGGUGGCCACCAUAAGGCCGCGGUGAAAGUUUGGGGCUCAACCCCAGAUCGGCCGCGGCGACUGUGGGCUGGGGCACUGUAGAGGCAGAUGGAAUUCCGGGUGUAGCGGUGGAAUGCGUAGAGAUCCGGAAGAACACCAGUGGCGAAGGCGGUCUGCUGGGCUGACACUGACGCUGAUGCGCGAAAGCCAGGGGAGCGAACGGG